CCCACCACUCUCGUGGUGGGCUUAUUUAUUGCGUCGCUGCGCGACU
rnacentral:ncRNA from 1 species